rnacentral:rRNA from 1 species
AUUGAACGCUGGCGGCAGGCCUAACACAUGCAAGUCGAGCGGAUGAAGGGAGCUUGCUCCUGGAUUCAGCGGCGGACGGGUGAAUAAUGCCUAGGAAUCUGCCUGGUAGUGGGGGAUAACGUCCGGAAACGGGCGCUAAUACCGCAUACGUCCUGAGGGAGAAAGUGGGGGAUCUUCGGACCUCACGCUAUCAGAUGAGCCUAGGUCGGAUUAGCUAGUUGGUGGGGUAAAGGCCUACCAAGGCGACGAUCCGUAACUGGUCUGAGAGGAUGAUCAGUCACACUGGAACUGAGACACGGUCCAGACUCCUACGGGAGGCAGCAGUGGGGAAUAUUGGACAAUGGGCGAAAGCCUGAUCCGGCCAUGCCGCGUGUGUGAAGAAGGUCUUCGGAUUGUAAAGCACUUUAAGUUGGGAGGAAGGGCAGUAAGUUAAUACCUUGCUGUUUUGACGUUACCAACAGAAUAAGCACCGGCUAACUUCGUG